AUUGAACGCUGGCGGCAGGCCUAACACAUGCAAGUCGGGCGGAUGAAGGGAGCUUGCUCCUGGAUUCAGCGGCGGACGGGUGAGUAAUGCCUAGGAAUCUGCCUGGUAGUGGGGGAUAACGUCCGGAAACGGGCGCUAAUACCGCAUACGUCCUGAGGGAGAAAGUGGGGGAUCUUCGGACCUCACGCUAUCAGAUGAGCCUAGGUCGGAUUAGCUAGUUGGUGGGGUAAAGGCCUACCAAGGCGACGAUCCGUAACUGGUCUGAGAGAAUGAUCAGUCACCCGGAACUUGGAACAGGUCCCAACCUCUAACGGGAGGCGGAGGUGGGAAUAUUUGAACAUGGGGCAAAGGCUUAAUCCACCCAUGCGGGGUGUGUAAGGAAGGUCUCCGGUUGUUAAACCACUUUAGGUGGGAGGAAGGGCAGUAAAGUUAAAACCUUCCUGUUUUACCGUUCCCACAGAAAAAGCCACCGCCAACCUUCUG
rnacentral:rRNA from 1 species